UGCUAUGAUGCCACAAUCCAGUCUCUGUGACUCGGAGGAAACGUUUCCAUGGUGAUGAGCAGUGAUGUCAUAAAGGGGGGAUUGUUACAGGGUUGAAUAAAAUCUGGCACUAGAUGCACCCGGCCUCCUUAUAUAAGAGGGGGCGGGAGACAAGCCCUAUCAGCACAUCCCAGAAAAUGGGAAACCAAAUCACCCAGGGGAUGGCAAGGAAUGACCAGAGGGAAAGUUCCAGUUCUGUCCACCAUGCACUACCAGCCCCAUUUUGGAAAAGAACAGAUUUAAUAGAUCUCACCAAGACAAGAAUUGUUUUUGGUCAAAGGAAAUCAAAGGAACAAACAAGAGGCAGUGACCACCGGAGACUUCACCUUUUGGUCUAGGAAAACCCAAGCAGACAGUGUCUACAUCCAUCAAAGCCCAAUGUAUCAAAUAUUUAUUGAAUAAGAACCCACGGACUCUUCCUUACCAGAGCCUUAGAUUGCCAUGUGCGUCUGAUUGCUCCAAAGACAGGCUAUUGUGAUUUCGGCCCCGUAUGCAUUUUAGAGUAACAAGUCUUACCAGAAAAAUAACAGCCAGCCCCAGCUUAAUUCCUAGAGAAACUAAAACCACCUUGUUAAGAACAUUCCUGGAGGAGAGUUUAUACUAAGGAGCACUGCACAAUGCUGUUUGCCAUCUCUGGGCCCUCUAAAAGCAAGCCCAACCUUGGAAAAGGAAUGUCUGCCACCAGGGAAACGUGGCUGCACUGCUGGAGGAAGAACUUGAUCAGGAUGGGCAAUGCUUGGAAGUAAAGCAUCUGCUGCCUUGGAAAGGCUUGGUCAGGGCAAUCAUUGUCACAGGCCACUUUUUUUCUCUGACUAUCUCUUGGAAUUUCAGAGUGACUAAGUGAUUGCUACCAUUAGAGCAAGAGGCAGUGUCUUCCAGAAGUCGGUGUGGGUAGCACCAAAUCAUCCACCAUGUAUGAGAGAAAAGCCAGACAGCUGGAAGGCUCUAUUCCCAGGCCACUCUCCAGUCCCCAAAUAUGUCACCAUCUCCCAUGCCUCCUUACUGGGCCCAUGCUGUCCCCUUGACCAGGAAUGUCCUCCACCCCCAUCCCAUCCCCAUAGCCCCCUUCAUUGUAAGAUCUGGGCCCAGCAAAUUGCCCAGCUCCUCUUCUCUGAAUGCUUCUUUAAUGUCUCUAAGAAGGAAUUCCUUCCUCCUUUACUGUCCAUCUCUUCCACCACAUGAGGGGUUUGGGGGAGCUCUUUGAAGACAAGGAACCCUUCCUCAUUCGUAUUUGAAUACUAGACCCAAGCACGUGCCCCUAGCAUCUGCAAUACACAGAUGUCAAGGUGAAUGGGGAGAUAGAUGCCAAGAUCCUUGAGCGCUGCAAAUCUUCACUGCCAACUUCAACUACUCCAAACUAAAGUCAAAAUUUUAAAAGUAA